UAAACUUAAUGUAAAUUUAAAUGUUAAUCUGCCGAGGUACAGCUCUGCAGAAUAAGACUACAACCUUGAUUAGAGAGUAAGUUUACCUUAUAACCAUAGUUGGCCUAAAAGCAGCCAUCAAUUAAGAAAGCGUUCAAGCUCAACAUUCCUAAUUAAAAUAAAUUCCAAACAUAUAUUAUAAUCUCCUACCUUAAUACUGGAUCAUUCUACAACUUCGUAGAAGAGAUACUGUUAAUAUGAGUAACAAGAUUUUAUAUCUCCUUACAUAAGUGUAUAUCAACCCAAAUAAUUUCUGAUAGUUAACAAAUUAACUAAGUCUAAUUAAUAAAUUUAUUUCUUCCCAUUAGCAUUGUUAACCCAACACUGGCAUGUACUUAAGGAAAGAUUAAAAAAAGUAAAAGGAACUCGGCAAUCACAAACCCCGCCUGUUUACCAAAAACAUCACUUCUAGCAUUAAUAGUAUUAGAGGCACUGCCUGCCCAGUGACAUUAGUUAAACGGCCGCGGUAUCCUGACCGUGCAAAGGUAGCAUAAUCAUUUGUUCCUUAAUUAGGGACUUGUAUGAAUGGCUUGACGAGGGUUUAACUGUCUCUUACUUUCAAUCAGUGAAAUUGACCUUCCCGUGAAGAGGCGGGAAUAAAUUAAUAAGACGAGAAGACCCUAUGGAGCUUAAAUUAAACUAUUCAAUUUAUAUAAAUUUUACCCUACGGGAUCAAUUCCACAAAAUCUGAAUAAUAAAUUUUGGUUGGGGUGACCUCGGAGUACAAAACAACCUCCGAGAUAUACAGCUAAGACUUACCCGUCAAAGCACCUUUUAUUAUUGAUCCAAUUACAUUGAUCAACGGAUCAAGUUACCCUAGGGAUAACAGCGCAAUCCUAUUUAAGAGUUCAUAUCGACAAUAGGGUUUACGACCUCGAUGUUGGAUCAGGACACCCAAAUGGUGCAGCAGCUAUUAAAGGUUCGUUU
rnacentral:rRNA from 1 species